rnacentral:rRNA from 1 species
AGUUAUGGCGUCAGGAUGAACGCUGGCGGCGUGCUUAACACAUGCAAGUCGAACGAAGCACUUCUCGUCUCGGAAGAGAAAGUGACUGAGUGGCGGACGGGUGAGUAACGCGUGGGUAACCUGCCUUAGUAACAGGGGGAUAACAGUUGGAAACGACUGCUAAUACCGCAUAAGCCAACGAGGUCGCAUGGCCUAGUUGGAAAAGAUUUAUCGGUAUAAGAUGGACCCGCGUCUGAUUAGCUAGUUGGUGAGGUAACGGCUCACCAAGGCGACGAUCAGUAGCCGGCUUGAGAGAGUGAACGGCCACAUUGGGACUGAGACACGGCCCAAACUCCUACGGGAGGCAGCAGUGGGGAAUAUUGCACAAUGGGGGAAACCCUGAUGCCAGCAACGCCGCGUGAAGGAAGAAGUAUUUCGGUAUGUAAACUUCUAUCAGCAGGAAAGAAAAUGACGGUACCUGACUAAGAAGCCCCGGCUAACUACGUGCCAGCAGCUGC